CCAGCAGCUGCGGUAAUUCCAGCUCCAAUAGCGUAUAUUAAAGUUGUUGCAGUUAAAAAGCUCGUAGUUGGAUUUCUGGCAGGAGCGUCCGGUCUCACACUCAGUGCGGGAACUUGGAUGUCUCUGGCCAUCUUUGGGGAUAUCCUGUUUGGCAUUAAGUUGUCGUGCAGGGGAUGCCCAUCGUUUACUGUGAAAAAAUUAGAGUGUUCAAAGCAGGCUUAUGCCGUUGAAUAUGUUAGCAUGGAAUAAUGAUAUAGGACCUUGGUACUAUUUUGUUGGUUUGCGCACCGAGGUAAUGAUUAACAGGGUCAACUGGGGAUAUUCGUAUUCCGCUGUCAGAGGUGAAAUUCUUGGAUUUUUGGAAGACGAACUACUGCGAAAGCAUUUAUCAAGGAUGUUUUCAUUAAUCAAGAACGAAAGU
rnacentral:rRNA from 1 species